rnacentral:rRNA from 1 species
UGAGGAAUAUUGGUCAAUGGGCGAGAGCCUGAACCAGCCAAGUAGCGUGAAGGAUGACUGCCUAUGGGUUGUAUACUUCUUUUAUAAAGGAAUAAGUCGGGUAUGGAUACCCGUUUGCAUGUACUUUAUGAAUAAGGAUCGGCUAACUCCGUGCCAGCAGCCGCGGUAAUACGGAGGAUUCGAGCGUUAUCCGGAUUUAUUGGGUUUAAAGGGAGCGUAGAUGGAUGUUUAAGUCAGUUGUGAAAGUUUGCGGCUCAACCGUAAAAUUGCAGUUGAUACUGGAUAUCUUGAGUGCA